GCUGGCGGCGUGCUUAACACAUGCAANYGGAGCGACGAACCAGGGCUUGCCCUGGGGCAGAGCCGCGAACGGGUGAGUAACACGUGGGUAACGUGCCCCAAUGAUCGGGACAACCCGGGGAAACCCGGGCUAAUACCGAAUGUGCUCCCCUCACACCAGUGAGGGAUGGAAAGGAAGCUUCGGCCUCCGCAUUGGGAUCGGCCCGCGGCCCAUUAGCUUGUUGGUGAGGUAACGGCUCACCAAGGCUGCGAUGGGUAGCUGGUCUGAGAGGACGAUCAGCCACACUGGGACUGAGACACGGCCCAGACUCCUACGGGAGGCAGCAGUGGGGAAUCUUGCGCAAUGCGCGAAAGCGUGACGCAGCAACGCCGCGUGGGGGAAGAAGGCCUUCGGGUUGUAAACCCCUUUCAGGAGGGACGAAGGUUGGGCGGUUAAUAGCCGGCCUGACUGACGGUACCUCCAGAAGAAGCCCCGGCUAACUACGUGCCAGCAGCCGCGGUAAUACGUAGGGGGCAAGCGUUGUCCGGAAUCAUUGGGCGUAAAGAGCGUGUAGGCGGUUCGGUAAGUCGGCUGUGAAAGUCCAGGGCUCAACCCUGGGAUGCCGGUCGAUACUGCCGGACUAGAGUUCGGAAGAGG
rnacentral:rRNA from 1 species